rnacentral:rRNA from 1 species
AACGAACGCUGGCGGCAGGCCUAACACAUGCAAGUCGAGCGCGCCUUCGGGUGAGCGGCGGACGGGUGAGUAACGCGUGGGAAUAUGCCCUUCUCUACGGAAUAGUCCUGGGAAACUGGGGGUAAUACCGUAUACGCCCUUUGGGGGAAAGAUUUAUCGGGGAAGGAUUAGCCCGCGUUGGAUUAGGUAGUUGGUGGGGUAAUGGCCUACCAAGCCGACGAUCCAUAGCUGGUUUGAGAGGAUGAUCAGCCACACUGGGACUGAGACACGGCCCAGACUCCUACGGGAGGCAGCAGUGGGGAAUCUUAGACAAUGGGGGCAACCCUGAUCUAGCCAUGCCGCGUGAGUGAUGAAGGCCUUAGGGUUGUAAAGCUCUUUCAGCUGGUAAGAUAAUGACGGUACCAGCAGAAGAAGCCCCGGCUAACUCCGUG